UACAGAGGGGGCAAGCGUUGUUCGGAAUUACUGGGCGUAAAGGGCGCGUAGGCGGCCUUCUAAGUCAGACGUGAAAUCCCUCGGCUCAACCGGGGAACUGCGUCUGAGACUGGAAGGCUUGAAUCCGGGAGAGGGAUGUGGAAUUCCAGGUGUAGCGGUGAAAUGCGUAGAUAUCUGGAGGAACACCGAUGGCGAAGGCAGCCCCCUGGGCUAGCACUGACGCUCAUACACGAAAGCGUGGGGAGCAAACAGG
rnacentral:rRNA from 1 species